UAAGCCAUGCACGUGUAAGUACAGACCUCUCUGAGAGGUGACACCGCGAACGGCUCAUUAGAUCGAUCUCUACCUAUUCGGGAGUACGAGCCCCUGGGUCUCCGGGCCUGGGAGUGCUAUGUGGAUAACUGUGGCAAUUCUAGAGCUAAUACAUGCGUGACGAGUCCGGUUCCCUUGUGGAAUCGGGCGCUUUUAUUAGACUGCGAUUCAGGGGGGAAACCUCCGGUCGUUGGUGACUCUGGAUAACUUUACAGCCGAGAACUCGAAAAGCCCUCCGGGGUGAGUUCCGUCCCGUUCGGGAGUUCGACCUAUCAAAUUUCGACGGUAGUCGACUUGACUACGGUGUUGCUGACGGGUAACGGGGAAUCUGGGUUCGAUUCCGGAGAGGGAGCCUGAGAAACGGCUACCACGUCCAAGGAAGGCAGCAGGCGCGCAAAUUACCCACUCCCGGCACGGGGAGGUAGUGACGAAAAAUACCGAUGCGGGGCUCCACACGGAGCUCUCGUAAUCUGGACUGAGUACACUCUAAAGCCUUGCUUAGCGAGGAUCUACUGGAGGGCAAGUCUGGUGCCAGCAGCCGCGGUAAUUCCAGCUCCAGCAGCGUAUACUAAAGUUGUUGCAGUUAAAAAGCUCGUAGUCGGAUGUGGGUGAAUCGUAGAGAGCUUUGUCGGUGCGUCCGCAUCCGCGGACGACUACUGACUGGCUCGACCUUGCGGCUAGUGCGUCGGGCCCCCGGGUCUGGCGCGCUAGUUGCUGUUACUUUGAAAAAAUGAGAGUGUUCAAGACGGGCUGUGUCAGCUUGAAUCUUAAAGCAUGGAAUAAUGGAAGAUGAUCCGACGGCCGCCGGUCGUGGGGUCCGCCCCUUUGCGGGGGUGGGCUUUCAUGGUCGGUGGACUGUAGGAUAAUGAUGAAGAGAGACGGUUGGGGGCAUUCGUAUUGCGUCGCGAGAGGUGAAAUUCUUGGACCGUCGCAAGACGAACUGGUGCGAAAGCGUUUGCCAAGGACGUUUUCAUUGAUCGAGAGCGAAAGUCAGAGGCUCGAAGACGAUCAGAUACCGUCGUAGUUCUGACCGUAAACGAUGUCGACCGGGGCUCAGCGGAUUCGUCGUUGUCUCGUGAAGAGACUGGUGACACCGCUGGUACCCUUCCCCUUGGUUCGGGAAACCUUUGAGUGUUUGGAUUCCGGGGGGAGUAUGGUUGCAAAGCUGAAACUUAAAGGAAUUGACGGAAGGGCACCACCAGGAGUGGAGCCUGCGGCUUAAUUUGACUCAACACGGGAAAUCUCACCCGGCCCGGACACCGUGAGGAUUGACAGAUUGAGAGCUCUUUCUCGAUUCGGUGGAUGGUGGUGCAUGGCCGUUCUUAGUUGGUGGAGUGAUUUGUCUGGUUGAUUCCGAUAACGAACGAGACUCUAGCCUGCUAACUAGUGUUCACCUCGCGUCCACUGCACGUGCGACGAGUUCGAGGUGAGCUACCGCCCCCCCGGGGGUGACUUCUUAGAGGGACAAGCGGUUUUUGAAGCCGCACGAGAUUGAGCGAUAACAGGUCUGUGAUGCCCUUAGAUGUCCGGGGCCGCACGCGCGCUACACUGUAGAUCGCAGCGAGUGUCGAACCUGUCCCUCCCGUAGCCGGGUGGGUAAACCAUUGAAAGAUCGAACGUGGCUUGGGAUCGGGCCUUGAAAUUAUUGCCCGUGAACGAGGAAUUCCCAGUAAGCGCGAGUCAUAAGCUGGCGUUGAUUACGUCCCUGCCCUUUGUACACACCGCCCGUCGCUACUACCGAUUGGACGGUUUAGCGAGGCCCUCGGAUCGGUACCAGGACCCCGCGAGGGGCCACUGGAAACCGAGAAGGCGGUCGAACUUGACCGUCUAGAGGAAGUAAAAGUCGUAACAAGGUUUCCGUAGGUGAAC
rnacentral:rRNA from 1 species